CAAACGUGACAGUGCAGUAGCAGGGAUCAGCAGAAUGUUGUUGUCUCGCAAGAGAAGAGUUUUAAGACUUGUCAGUCCAUCGAAGGCAUUAUCUUCGACCUGGAAAUUACAAAAGGCAUAUUUAAAUAUAAAACGCAUUUAAAUUAUAUUAUAGUAUUUCUGUCCAAUUCUAAACCAAAAUGAUAUGAUACCAAUACGUACAGUUCGUAAAGAGUUCACUCCGAUGUCCAAGUAACUCAAUUCAGUCAGUCCUACAAAUGUUCCCGGGGUGAGCUUAACCAAAUUAUUCCGGCUUAAGUCCAAAACUUGUAACGAUGACAGCGAAUUUAGGUGGCUAUUGUCGAUGUUCUGUAAAUUAUAGUACGCAUUAAAUCACAACAGUUAAUAACAGGAUGAAGAUUUUUUGGAUUUCGUGUUCAAUUUUGCAAUAUCAGUACUGUAAUGUUUAAAAGACUAUGUUAGUUCACUUAAUAAAAAAACUCAGAUAACACUUUACGUGAUACAUUACGUAACGUUCUUCUCUCAAUAAAUGGACACUAGAUGAUGACUAGUUUUUUUGAUAACGC